GGCUUGCGAGUAAGGGGAGUGUAAGGGAAUUUAAAGGGCUUCUCCUCCAACCACCUUUCCGGUGCUGAGUCCCCACGGCAACAUCUCCUCCCCGAAUGAUCCUCAAGCAGCGGAUGGUUGUGUUUCCAACGCCAGAAAUAGGGGAGUGCUCAAAAUGCACAUGGAAGACAGGCUGGAUUUGACAGAAAGGAGGAGCCGGAGACCGGAAGAAGGCGCAAAAGGAACGCCGAGGGGCCACAAGAGGGUACCCGGAGUAAGGGAGAAAAAGCAGCAUUUGUGCCCAUCGGCCUUGAACAUAAAGACCCAGCCUCAGCCUGAAAAAGAGCCAACAAUGAGGCAGCCCCAGAAUCAGUCCUGCUGUUGAAGUCUGACGCAUUAACAACCCCGACAGGAAUUAAGAGGAAAGCAAAAGUAAAAGUGUGUGAAGAAACAGCCCAGCCACAUGCAUUGCUGGACGCAUCAUCAGCCGUGGGAACAUAAACUCCUGCUCGCCAGUAACAGUCAUCCAGAAAUUACACCACUGAAGCCACAUCUCCUUCCCUUAAAGAGCACUGUCAAGAGCACUUGUCACUUCAAAUCAAGGAAAGUACUUUCCCUGGCAAAUCCCAUCCCUGUGAAGCCAACCUUAUCUCUCACAUG